UUGAACGCGUCUGUGACUAAACCAGUUUCAGGGGUCCACGGUUCUGGACUAAGAUGGACCUUGACAGGAAUUUCAAACCUUUGCAGUUUGACUAGAAAGGAAAGGAAUACUCAAAAUUAGUAUGGAAAUAAACUUGGUCAUCACAAUGGAGACAGGUUAAUGAUCAGAGCUAUGGAGAAGCAACCCUGCUCAGGGCAAAGAAAUAAGAUCUCCGUGGAGACAAGCAGACCAUUUUGGAAGUUACACAGUGCAUCUUUUAACACAUCCACAGUGGAUUCAACACAUCAUACAUACCUACUAUCUGCAGACAGCCAUCAGGGUGAAACUCUC